rnacentral:rRNA from 1 species
GACGAACGCUGGCGGCGUGCUUAACACAUGCAAGUCGAACGCUGAAGCUUGGUGCUUGCACUGGGUGGAUGAGUGGCGAACGGGUGAGUAAUACGUGAGUAACCUGCCCUUGACUCUGGGAUAAGCCUGGGAAACUGGGUCUAAUACUGGAUACGACAUGUCACCACAUGGUGGUGUGUGGAAAGGGUUUUACUGGUUUUGGAUGGGCUCACGGCCUAUCAGCUUGUUGGUGGGGUAAUGGCUCACCAAGGCGACGACGGGUAGCCGGCCUGAGAGGGUGACCGGCCACACUGGGACUGAGACACGGCCCAGACUCCUACGGGAGGCAGCAGUGGGGAAUAUUGCACAAUGGGCGGAAGCCUGAUGCAGCGACGCCGCGUGAGGGAUGACGGCCUUCGGGUUGUAAACCUCUUUCAGCACGGAAGAAGCGAAAGUGACGGUACGUGCAGAAGAAGCGCCGGCUAACUACGUG